GCUGAAAUACCUCAGCUGGGAGAGCGUUAGACUGAAGAUCUAAAAGUCCCUGGUUCAACCCCUGGUUUCGGCA
rfam:Scleropages formosus scaffold25236, whole genome shotgun sequence.